rnacentral:rRNA from 1 species
UGGGGAAUAUUGGGCAAUGGGCGAAAGCCUGACCCAGCAACGCCGCGUGAAGGAUGAAGUAUUUCGGUAUGUAAACUUCGAAAGAAUAGGAAGAAUAAAUGACGGUACCUCCCAAGAAAGCACCGGCUAACUCCGUGCCAGCAGCCGCGGUAAUACGGAGGGUGCGAGCGUUGCUCGGAAUCACUGGGCGUACAGGGAGCGUAGGCGGUUGGGUAAGCCCUCCGUGAAAUCUCCGGGCCUAACCCGGAAAGUGCAGAGGGGACUGCUCAGCUAGAGGAUGGGAGAGGAGCGCGGAAUUCCCGGUGUAGCGGUGAAAUGCGUAGAGAUCGGGAGGAAGGCCGGUGGCGAAGGCGGCGCUCUGGAACAUUUCUGACGCUGAGGCUCGAAAGCGUGGGGAGCAAACAGGAUUAGAUACCCCCGUAGUCCCUGAGCGGGCUGGCAAGGCGCAU